rnacentral:rRNA from 1 species
AGAGUUUGAUCCUGGCUCAGAACGAACGCUGGCGGCAGGCCUAACACAUGCAAGUCGAGCGCCCAGCAAUGGGAGCGGCAGACGGGUGAGUAACACGUGGGAACCUUCCCUAUAGUACGGAAUAGCCCAGGGAAACUUGGAGUAAUACCGCAUACGCCCGAGAGGGGAAAGAUUUAUCGCUAUAGGAUGGGCCCGCGUAGGAUUAGCUAGUUGGUGAGGUAAUGGCUCACCAAGGCGACGAUCCUUAGCUGGUCUGAGAGGACGACCAGCCACACUGGAACUGAGACACGGUCCAGACUCCUACGGGAGGCAGCAGUGGGGAAUUUUGGACAAUGGGGGCAACCCUGAUCCAGCAAUGCCGUGUGAGUGAAGAAGGCCUUCGGGUUGUAAAGCUCUUUUGUCAGGGAAGAAACGGUGAUCUCUAAUAUAGAUUGCUAAUGACGGUACCUGAAGAAUAAGCACCGGCUAACUACGUGCCAGCAGCCGCGGUAAUACGUAGGGUGCAAGCGUUAAUCGGAAUUACUGGGCGUAAAGCGUGCGCAGGCGGUUAUAUAAGUCAGAUGUGAAAUCCCCGGGCUCAACCUGGGAACUGCAUUUGAGACUGUAUGGCUAGAGUGUGUCAGAGGGGGGUAGAAUUCCACGUGUAGCAGUGAAAUGCGUAGAUAUGUGGAGGAAUACCGAUGGCGAAGGCAGCCCCCUGGGAUAACACUGACGCUCAUGCACGAAAGCGUGGGGAGCAAACAGGAUUAGAUACCCUGGUAGUCCACGCCCUAAACGAUGUCUACUAGUUGUUGGGUCUUAAUUGACUUAGUAACGCAGCUAACGCGUGAAGUAGACCGCCUGGGGAGUACGGUCGCAAGAUUAAAACUCAAAGGAAUUGACGGGGACCCGCACAAGCGGUGGAUGAUGUGGAUUAAUUCGAUGCAACGCGAAAAACCUUACCUACCCUUGACAUGUACAGAAUGCCGAAGAGAUUUGGCGGUGCUCGCAAGAGAACUGUAACACAGGUGCUGCAUGGCUGUCGUCAGCUCGUGUCGUGAGAUGUUGGGUUAAGUCCCGCAACGAGCGCAACCCUUGUCACUAGUUGCUACGAAAGGGCACUCUAAUGAGACUGCCGGUGACAAACCGGAGGAAGGUGGGGAUGACGUCAAGUCCUCAUGGCCCUUAUGGGUAGGGCUUCACACGUCAUACAAUGGUACAUACAGAGGGCCGCCAACCCGCGAGGGGGAGCUAAUCCCAGAAAGUGUAUCGUAGUCCGGAUUGUAGUCUGCAACUCGACUACAUGAAGUUGGAAUCGCUAGUAAUCGCGGAUCAGCAUGUCGCGGUGAAUACGUUCCCGGGUCUUGUACACACCGCCCGUCACACCAUGGGAGCGGGUUCUGCCAGAAGUAGGUAGCUUAACCGUAAGGAGGGCGCUUACCACGGCAGGGUUCGUGACUGGGGUGAAGUCGUAACAAGGUAACC